rnacentral:lncRNA from 7 species
GGGGCUGCGUCCUGCCUGCUGGGAGAAGGAGGUUUUGCUUCCUCCUGCCCUGCCUUGAAGCCAUCGGUCACCUACAGCAAGCAGCAUGUAAGGGGAUUUGCCUGCCUGGGGAUGAGUCCCUGCCCAAAUGGGAGAGCUGGAGGAACAGGACCAAAGGAAGCAGGAGAGAUGACGGAAAGAUGCGUUUUGCUGUGUGGAGACUGCUUGCCUUACACUGACACUCUUCUGUUUUUUUUCCUCUUUGUGGGAAGCGAACAAGGUACGGAUCUCCAGUCUGGAACCUCUUAUCUGCAUGCAGAUGGUUUGGUCUGCAGUACAUGGAAGGAACCCGGUGCUGGCAUUUGGUGAGAUGGUGCCCAUCCAUCAGCUGCUGCCGCCCUGCACGGAGCUGUGUCUCAGCCCAGGGAAUCAAUCCUGCCUAAUGUAUAAAUAUUAGAUCUGGAGUCUCAGCUGCAGAGGAGAAAGCGGAGCUGUCAGAUAAGCUGCAAUUAGUGCAUUUAUCUACUUUAUUUUCCUGUCGUUUCCCCAAACUCCUUUUGCCUGUCUGCUCCUAAUACAUUAUUAAAUCUGCUCUAAGUGUUGAU